AAACUUUCAACAACGGAUCUCUUGGCUCUGGCAUCGAUGAAGAACGUAGCGAAAUGCGAUAAGUAAUGCGAAUUGCAGAAUUCAGUGAAUCAUCGAAUCUUUGAACGCACAUUGCGCCCGCCAGCACUCUGGCGGGCAUGCCUGUCCGAGCGUCAUUU
rnacentral:rRNA from 1 species